GCAAGUUAAGUGAUUCACAUUUUUACUCAGUUUUCAGUCAUAUACAGAGCGGUAAGAACAUUAUGAUCUUUUUGUAGAUAACAGAAUACAGUUUAUAUGUUGCUCUCUUUUUCCUUCCUGAACUCAUCAAUGAAUAACAAAGCACACUGUGACUAUGUCUGCAUAUCACAUAAAUGUCUAGAUGAAAAGUGACAAAUUCAGGCCAUCAUCCAACUAUUUGAAAACAUUUAUCUUGAUGACAUUAAACAUCUGGAUGUUUCCAAAUACCAAGAUGUUUGAUGUCCUGCAGAUAAAAUAUCCUGAUGAGUGCUUAAACGUUUUACUUAUCUAUUGGAUAAAAAUGCACAUUUGCAAGCAUUAUCUUUUUCUGUUUCAGACACAAAAUGUAAUUUUAGCAUGCAUAUAGUAGGAAGCUCUAGGAAUCAUCAGGUUUAGAAAUUUUACUUACUCUUUUUCCUAAUGAAUCUUGAAAUUAGAGAAACAUCUUUAUUUUCUUUUUAGUUAAUAAAAUAGAUGUCAUUUUGACAGUGUGCAGUAAAAAGUAAAAGAUUUGCAAAAUGAAGGGUACGGAGGAACCUAAGCCUUUAUGUAAAGUGGCCCACAAAAACACUGUGCGUGAGGAAAACAACACAAACUAGUCUUAGUUGAUUGGCUUAUUAUUCAGUUGGGAUGUUAUCUGUUUCUUCUUCUCACAUCUUGUUCAAAGCAUUUUGUUCUUAGCAUGUCCAUUUAUGCCAGUUAGAUGAAAUGACAGAAGUUCAGACUUCCUAAUUUGACAAUUUUGAUGUUUCUAGUGAUAAUUUGG
rnacentral:lncRNA from 1 species